ACGGGCGUAGCUCAAUUGGUAGAGCAGCUGAUUCCAAAUCAGCAGGUUGGGGGUUCGAGUCCUCCUGCCCGUG
rnacentral:tRNA from 1 species